GGAUGUAGCGCAGCUUGGUAGCGCACUUCGUUCGGGACGAAGGGGCCGCAGGUUCGAAUCCUGUCAUCC
rnacentral:ncRNA from 11 species